rnacentral:rRNA from 1 species
AAACUCAAAGGAAUUGACGGGACCGCACAAGCAGCGGAGCAUGUGGUUUAAUUCGAAGCAACGCGAAGAACCUUACCAGGGCUUGACAUCCCUCUGACCGGCGUGUAACGGCGCCUUCCCUUCGGGGCAGAGGAGACAGGUGGUGCAUGGUUGUCGUCAGCUCGUGUCGUGAGAUGUUGGGUUAAGUCCCGCAACGAGCGCAACCCUUGUCAUUAGUUGCCAGCGAUUCGGUCGGGGACUCUAGAGAUACUGCCCCGGUUAACGGGGAGGAAGGUGGGGAUGACGUCAAGUCCUCAUGGCCCUUAUGCCCAGGGCUACACACGUGCUACAAUGGGCGGUACAAAGGGUAGCGAUGCCGCGAGGCGAAGCCAAUCCCAAAAAGCCGUCCUCAGUUCGGAUUGGAGUCUGCAACUCGACUCCAUGAAGCCGGAAUCGCUAGUAAUCGCGGAUCAGCAUGCCGCGGUGAAUACGUUCCCGGGGCUU